CGGGGGUGGAGGGUCUCGGGCUUUGUGGCUGCUGCCUUCAGGCCUCCGGAAGUCCCUGCCAGGGCUGCUGCUAGAGGAUGAGAAGUGCAGGUUUGAGGCUCAGGAGAAGGAGCUGCUCUGCCUGCCCAGCUCCCUGCACAAAGCAGGUAUACCAGUGAGCACCAAGUCCAGUUCAGGCAGAUGCAGGGAGCUGGCCAACAGUUGUUGAAUGAACACUUGGGCCCAAGGUAGAAGGAACUCUGGCUCUUUUACAGGAUCAAGAAGAAAGGCCAAGAGAAAACGCCAUCUCCAAGGUAACAGAGAGAAACGUUGAUGUGAGAGAGACACAUCGACUGGCUGCCAC